AGGGUUAAAAUGCAAAGGGCGGAAAGAAGAAUAACCCAACAAGAGCGCCAAGAACAAGACAAUAGACGACGAGAAGAAGAACGUGAACGCAGAGAGGAAAACGAUAGACAACGCAAGUUUGAGCUUGAAAAAAGCAAGUUGGAGAUCAAGUAUAAGCUUGAUAAGCAAUUGGAAGACAAUCGCCACAAAGAAGCAAAACUCGAAAGGGCAUUGAAAAUGCAAAGUGAUACAUGACAAGCACAUAUAAACCAGUGCUUGGAGAGUGGACUCACAGCCAACGAAGCCCUGGAAAAAUCUAGUUAUCUUCUCGUAAGUGGGAAAGAUUUCUCUGGAGUUCUUAAGGCGAUAAUCGACGAAGAUGAAACUGAUGCAGAGUGAGUGAAGAAAAUAUAUUUUCAAAACGAUAAUUUCAAAAGCACCAUGCUACUAAUUUGUGUCCUGCAGCAAUCAAAUACUUUUCGAGUCGAACAUUU